UAUGGAAACGAAACAUUGAGUGGUAUACUUGUUUUAACAGUAAGAAACAGAAAAACUAAAAAACGAGCUGAAUUUCCGUUUUUUCGUUUUGGGGCAUACCUUGGUCCUCAACUUGCUGUAUUUGAGUAAUGAUCAGACUAACAACAACAUCAACAGGGUCGAGUGCCCGUCCUCCCGCAGGACAACCAGACAGGAAGGAGAGUCUCUGCCCGCCAGAGGAGGCCUGCAGUCUGCAGACAGUGUCCCUGCUGCAGGGACGACCAGGUGCCACAUACAAAGCGCAGGCGCCCUGCUGCUUCUGCAGACCUUCCCCAGAAAAGGAAGCAGACCUCCGCUGCUCUUCCUCCUAAACCUGCUGACCUGCCACCUGUCUCUAAUGUGGCCCCCAGCCCCCGGACCUCCACUGCUCCUCUGCACCUCGACAACCCUAUCAGGAUCCACAAUCGCUCAGUCGAGGAGUACCAGCUCAUCUACCAUGAAGUUGUGGAUAACAUGCUGAGGUUCCCGAACGGUCUCCUGCGUCCAUAUAGUUUGGGUCUGGGUCGUCGUAUCAAGCAGAAGCUGUGGGAGCGACUGGACCGUCCGAUGUUCACAGAGACAGUGGAUGAAGACGGUCUGGUCCAUGUGGACGUGUCCUACGGUGCUGGAGUCCAGCCUCCGCUCUUCAACGUGGAUGUUUCUGGUGAACCAGAGCCCGAAUAUCCACCAGCAAAAAGGGCAAAGCACUAAGACACACUCUCAUAAGCUGACAUGUCUAAAUAACACUGUGCUUUAAGUUUAGUUUAGUUUUUUUAAGUUUCAUUUGAGUAGUUUUAAGUUUUAAGUAUGGCAGUUAAGUUUAAGUUUAUUAAGUGUAGAGUUAAGUCUUUAGUGCCAAGCAUAAGUAUUAAGUGUUAAGUCUUUAGUUUUAAGUAUUUAGUCAUAAGUAUAACUAUAAAGUGUUAAGAGUAA